UGAACGCUAGCGGCAGGCUUAACACAUGCAAGUCGAGGGGCAGCACGGGUAGCAAUACCUGGUGGCGACCGGCGCAAGGGUGCGUAACGCGUGAGCAACAUGCCCUAUACAGGGGGAUAAUCCAGGGAAACUUGGUCUAAUAUCCCAUAGCAUUUAGAGGAGGCAUCUUCACUAAAUUAAAGCUUCGGUGGUAUAGGAUUGGCUCGCGUGACAUUAGCUAGAUGGUGAGGUAACGGCCCACCAUGGCUAUGAUGUCUAGGGGUUCUGAGAGGAAGACCCCCCACACUGGGACUGAGACACGGCCCAGACUCCUACGGGAGGCAGCAGUGAGGAAUAUUGGACAAUGGAUGGAAAUCUGAUCCAGCCAUGCCGCGUGCAGGAAGACGGCCCUAUGGGUUGUAAACUGCUUUUAUAUGGGAGCAAUAAGGUUUACGAGUAGACCGAUGAGAGUACCAUAUGAAUAAGCAUCGGCUAACUCCGUG
rnacentral:rRNA from 1 species